rnacentral:tRNA from 1 species
GCCCGCGUGAUGGAAUGGUAGACAUAGGGGACUUAAAAUCCCUAGGCUGGAAGGCCGUGCCGGUUCGAGUCCGGCCGCGGGUACCA